UGCUGGUUAGCUCAGUUGGUUAGAGUGUGGUGCUGAUAAUACCAAGAUCACGGGUUUGAUCCCUGUAUGGGUGCAU